GCAACAUGGAGAUAGACCAAUGGGAAUGAUGAUGAAUCAGCCGAGUUGAAGACAUUGCUCUGCAUGUACGAAAAUAGAUUUCCCCAAAUGGAUGUGUUGGCCCGAGAGAUGAUAAAUUGUGCUGCCUCCCCUCUGUGCAAAUCAGGAAUGGAAAUAGACGACGCAAGGCCAGAGCAAUGUCAUGGCAAAUGAGCUUGUGCUUCUCAGCUUAGCCAGAAACAUCAGCGAAUCUCUG
rnacentral:lncRNA from 1 species